CACACCUAACACACACACCUCACACACACACCUCACACACACACACACCUCAUACACACCUCUUACACACACACCUCACUCACACACACCUCAUACACACACACACCUCUUACACACACACACCUCUUACACACACACCUCACUCACACACACACCUCAUACACACACACCUCACACACACACCUCUCACAUACACCUCAUACACACACACCUCACUCACACACACCUCAUACACACACACACCUCACACACACACCUCUCAUACACACCUCUCACAUACACCUCUCAUACACACACACACACACACACACACUUCUCACACACCUCUUACACAUACACACACCUCACACACACACUUCUCACACACCUCUUACACACACACCUCACACACACACCUCACACAUCUCACACACACAAACCUCACACACACACCUCUCACAUACACCUCAUACACACACACCUCACUCACACACACCUCACACACACACCUCACACACACCUCAUACACACACACACACACCUCUCACACACACACACACCUCUCACACACACACACACCUCUCAUACACACACACACACACCUCUCACACACACACCUCACACACCUCUUAUACACACACACCUCACACACCUCACUCACACACACCUCACUCACACACACACACACACACACACCUCACACACACACCUCAUACACACACACCUCUCACACACACACACCUCUCACACAGACCUCUCUCAUACACACACACCUCUCUCACACACACACACCUCACACACACACCUCACACACACACACCUCACACACACUUCUUACACACACACCUCACUCACAUACACCUCAUACACACACACACCUCACACCUCACACACACACACACCUCACUCACACACACCUCAUACACACACACCUCAUACACACACACACCUCACUCACAUACACCUCAUACACACACACACCUCACACCUCACACACACACACCUCACACACACACACACACCUCUCACAUACACCUCAUACACACACACACCUCACACACACACACACCUCUCACACACACCUCUCAUACACACCUCUCACAUACACCUCUCAUACACACACACACCUCACACCUCACACACACACACCUCACACACACACACACACCUCUCACAUACACCUCAUACACACACACACCUCACACACACACACACCUCUCACACACACCUCUCAUACACACCUCUCACAUACACCUCUCAUACACACACACACACACACUUCUCACACACCUCUUACACACACACACACACCUCACACACACACUUCUCACCUCUUCUGCUGAGGUGAGUGUGUGUGUGCACUCUGAGGAGUGUGCGUGUGCACUUUGAGCUGUGUGUGUGUAUGUGCACUCUGAGCUGUGUGUAUGUGUGCACUCUGAGCUGUGUGUGUUUGUGUGUGUGUGUGUGUGUGUGUGUGUGUGUGUGCGUGCUGGGGAGGCUUAUUAUGUUUUUCUCUGACGUUAGACUCUAUAGCCUCUUUAGAGCGUGUGUGUGUGCUCUUUAGACUCUUUAGAGUUGUGUGUGUGUGUGUGUGUUUGUGUGUGUGCUCCUUAGACUAUUUAUAGGUGUGUGUGUGUGUGUGUGUGUGUGUGUGUGUGUGUGUGUGUGUGUGUGUGUGUGUGCUGGGCAUUAGACCCUCCUUAGAGCGUAUCCUGACAGUGAAGACAGUGAUUUUUCCUCUCUGCUUG
rnacentral:lncRNA from 1 species